rnacentral:rRNA from 1 species
CAGCAGCCGCGGUAAAACGGAGGGUGCAAGCGUUAAUCGGAAUUACUGGGCGUAAAGCGUGCGCAGGCGGUUUGUUAAGACAGAUGUGAAAUCCCCGGGCUUAACCUGGGAACUGCAUUUGUGACUGGCAAGCUAGAGUAUGGCAGAGGGGGGUGGAAUUCCGCGUGUAGCAGUGAAAUGCGUAGAUAUGCGGAGGAACACCGAUGGCGAAGGCAGCCCCCUGGGCCAAUACUGACGCUCAUGCACGAAAGCGUGGGGAGCAAACAGGAUUAGAUACCCCUGUAGUCCCUGUCUCUUAUAC